rnacentral:lncRNA from 1 species
CCCUUGCAUAGGUUGCGUUUGGACAGAGAGAGACGAGAGGCCAGCAGCUGCAAACAGCAGAGACAGUAAUGACAUGGUGGCUUCACAAAACUGUAAGUCCAGUUGUAGGGGAGCUUGUAUUAGAUUAAAAAUGCUGCAGCCCUUAGACACAAGGUGCUGAACUACUAUACGACCACAUUGUUUGACUGAAGCUGGGGGUGUGGUGAGAAUAUUUAUAUAAACAUAUGAAGGAGUAAUUUUUGUCUGCCAGGAUUGCAUAAGAUCAAGUAUCAGAUAACCAUAUUUCUGAAUGGAGCUUAUUUGCCAGCCCAAAGGCUCCUUUGCCAGUUCUUUCAUGGUACCUUUGUGCUCUUACUGGUGCUUUGCCAUGGAACUCAAAUGUUUCCGAAGAAAUAAAUAUGCAGGUUUGGGUGCAUAUUUACUCUUAUGCUUCUGGUGUGUUUGUUGUAAACUGUCUCAACUCCAUCAACAGCAACUUUGAAGAAUUUGGUGAUGGCGUAGCAUUACUGAUCAGACAGAGCCUGGACCGGAGCCACAGUGGAAAUCGUGUACUUGGCAAGCAGACCCCUUCAGCAUUGUUCCACAUGAUCCCAAGUGAACCAAGCAAGAGACUACCCGUUGUUCAAGAAUUCUUGAAAACAGCGAUGGCAAUGCAGUGUUUUAAAUGUUUUAAUUCUAGGACCACUUCACAGAAAAUAUCUGAGGUGUGCAUUACCAUCUACUUCCUUGUGGUUGUACCGGUGUGCCAUGCAGCAACUCAGAGAAACUCACUUAAUCCAACUGGAAAAAACACUCACACAAAAGAUAUUUUCUCAGAUAAGCUGUUUCAGCUGACAGUGGUGAUGAAGCGGCACACCCCUGAUACAAGGGGAAGGUGA